rnacentral:rRNA from 1 species
GACGAACGCUGGCGGCGUGCCUAAUACAUGCAAGUAGAACGCUGAAGAGAGGAGCUUGCUCUUCUUGGAUGAGUUGCGAACGGGUGAGUAACGCGUAGGUAACCUGCCUUGUAGCGGGGGAUAACUAUUGGAAACGAUAGCUAAUACCGCAUAACAAUGGAUGACACAUGUCAUUUAUUUGAAAGGGGCAAUUGCUCCACUACAAGAUGGACCUGCGUUGUAUUAGCUAGUAGGUGAGGUAAUGGCUCACCUAGGCGACGAUACAUAGCCGACCGGAGAGGGUGAUCGGCCACACUGGGACUGAGACACGGCCCACACUCCUACGGGAGGCAGCAGUAGGGAAUCCUCGGCAAUGGGGGCAACCCUGACCGAGCAACGCCGCAUGAGUGAAGAAGGUUUUCGGAUCGUAAAGCUCUGUUGUAAGUCAAGGACGGGUGUGAGAGUGGAAAGUUCACACUGUGACGGUAGCUUAUCAGAAAGGGACGGCUAACUACGUG